rnacentral:rRNA from 1 species
AUUAGACCAAGAUCAUCGGGCUUCGGUCCGUAUUGUGUGGUGACUCUGGAUAACUUUGUGCUGAUCGCAUGGCCACGAGCCGGCGACGUUUCUUUCAAGUGUCUGCCUUAUCAACUUUCGAUGGUAGGUUACUUGCUUACCAUGGUUGUUACGGGUAACGGAGAAUCAGGGUUCGAUUCCGGAGAGGGAGCCUGAGAAACGGCUACCACAUCCAAGGAAGGCAGCAGGCGCGCAAAUUACCCACUCCCGGCACGGGGAGGUAGUGACGAAAAAUAACAAUACGGGACUCUUUUGAGGCCCCGUAAUUGAAAUGAGUACACUCUAAAUCCUUUAACGAGGAUCAAUUGGAGGGCAAGUCUGGUGCCAGCAGCCGCGGUAAUUCCAGCUCCAAUAGCGUAUACUAAAGCUGCUGCGGUUAAAAAGCUCGUAGUUGGAUCUCAGUUCCAGACGAGUAGUGCAUCUACCCGAUGCGACGGCUCGGACUGAACAUCAUGCCGGU